UAAUACGUAGGUGUCGAGCGUUGUCCGGAUUUAUUGGGCGUAAAGAGCCCGCAGGCGGCUUGGUAAGUUCGAGGUGAAAUCUCCCGGCUCAACUGGGAGGGUGCCUCGAAAACUAUCAGGCUUGAGGCAGGGAGAGGGAUGUGGAAUUCCCGGUGUAGUGGUGAAAUGCGUAGAUAUCGGGAGGAACACCAGUGGCGAAGGCGGCAUCCUGGCCCUGUCCUGACGCUCAGGGGCGAAAGCGUGGGGAGCAAACCGG
rnacentral:rRNA from 2 species